UCAAAAACAUGUCUUUUUGUUAAUAAUUUAAAGUCUAAUCUGCCCACUGAUAUAAUUAUUAAAGGGCUGCAGUAUAUUGACUGUACAAAGGUAGCAUAAUCAUUAGUCUUUUAAUUGAAGACUUGUAUGAAAGAUUUGAUGAAAUAUAAACUGUCUCUAUUUUAAGAAUAAAAUUUAAUUUUUUAGUUAAAAAGCUAAAAUAUUAUUAAAAGACGAGAAGACCCUAUAAAGUUUUAUAAUUUGUUUAUUUAAUAUUAAAUAUAUAAUUAAAUAUAAUAAUUAAUUAAAUUAUUUUGUUGGGGUGAUAGAAAAAUUUAAUAAACUUUUUUUUAACAUAAACAUACAUAAGUGAAAAAAUGAUCCAUUAUUAAUGAUUAAAAGAAAAAAUUACUUUAGGGAUAACAGCGUAAUAUUUUUUUUUAGUACAAAUAAAAAGAAAAGUUUGCGACCUCGAUGUUGGAUUAAGAUAAAAUUUAAAUGCAAAAGUUUAAAAUUUUGAUCUGUUCGAUCAUUAAAAUCUUACAUGAUCUGAGCU
rnacentral:rRNA from 1 species